AGAGAGAGUGUUCUGGGAUGUGGUUGAGAAGAUUUUUGUCACUUUUUGCGAGCAUGAUUGAUGUUUGAUCAACUUUAAAAGACGAUCUUUCCUUGUUUUUGCACCAAGGAGGAAGCUUUGGAAUGUGUUUCUGUGGUGUCAGGGCUAUUGAUUAAUUUAGAUUCCAGCAUUUUUGAUUUGGUUUUAUUGCUGACAUGAAGUGUUUAAAUGCACAGGAAGGUGAUUCUAUGUUAACCGACAGAGUCUGGGAUGCACUUGUGAAGGCGUUUACUAGCCAAAUGAAGUCUGCAUUCACAGCUUCGAGUUUUGUAAAAGAAAUAUUCACCGUGGGAUAUCCGAAGCUCGUGUUUAUGAUUGAAAAUCUUCUUGAAAGAAUAUCUCGCGACACCGAUGUGAAAGGAGUGUUACCUGCCAUUGAUUCAGAAAGGAAAGAACAAAUGGUUUCAUGCAUUGCAAUAUUCCAGACUGCUUUCUUAUCACUAUGCUUUGGCCGGUUGUCAGAUCUUGUGAACUCGAUAUUCCCUAUGUCUAGCCGCGGGAGUUUACCUUCGAAAGAACAGAUCUCACAGGUACUAUCACACAUUCAAGAAGAGAUUGAGGCUGUUCAUCCAGAUGGUCGUUUGACUCUUCUAGUCUUGCGUGAGAUAGGCAAGGCCCUUAGUAACCUAGCUCAACGAGCUGAGUGCCAGGUAUCUUCAACUUCUUCGAUCUUCUAUUUUUCUUCUCAAUUGGUGGUUAUUGGUAUCUAAUACUAAGUAUGGAUUCUAUUAAGUCCCUAGAGUAUGGCAUCAAAUUCUGCUUGAGUACAAUGCAUAUUCAUUACUUACGAAUGCAUAAGGUUGCAUGGAAAUGUAAAUGGUAGAAUGUCAUAAUAUCCUUGUAACAAACCAGACAGAAAUGAAGGAAAACAUUAGCCUCUGCUAUGCGUAUAUAUACGUGUUAGCUGAUAUAAUAAUCAGGGUUAACCAGUAAAGAGUUAGACCAGUAUGUAUGCUUUUAUGUUUGACAUUUAACGCAGCUUUAUUUAAAUGGCAGAUUUCUACAGGCCCUGAGACGCGCCAGAUAACAGGUCCUGCAACUUCAACACAGAUCAGGAACUUCACAUUAUGUCAGCAUCUGCAAGGAAUCCACACGCAUAUCUCAUCCAUGGUAGCAGACCUACCCAGUAUCGCUUCUGAUGUAUUGUCUCAUUGUCUGAGUGCGAUAUAUGUUGCGGCAUGCGACCCAGUUACACCAUUGUUCAAAGCAAUGCAAGACCAGCUCGAGUCAUGCAUUCUUCAAAUCCAUGACCAAAACUUUGGUGUUGACGACGCUGCCUUGGACAACAACACCUCCCCGUACAUGGAGGAGUUGCAGAGAUCGAUUCUUCACUUCCGCAAGGAGUUCCUAUCAAGACUAUUGCCUUCCGCAGCAACGGCUAACACUGCAGGGACAGAAUCAAUCUGCACUAGACUCGCAAGAGAAAUGGCUUCAAGGGUUCUGAUCUUCUACAUCAGGCACGCUUCCCUUGUGCGGCCACUAUCAGAAUGGGGAAAACUCAGGAUGGCUAGAGACAUGGCCGAGCUGGAACUAGCGGUAGGACAGAAUCUGUUCCCUGUGGAACAACUCGGUGCACCGUACAGAGCUCUCAGAGCAUUUAGGCCACUGGUUUUCCUGGAAACAUCUCAAGUUGGAUCAUCCCCUCUGAUCCAGGAUCUACCACCGAGCAUCGUUCUCCAUCAUCUCUACACGAGAGGCCCAGAUGAGUUAGAGACACCGAUGCAGAAGAACAGAUUGAGUCCUAAGCAGUACUCACUGUGGCUUGAUAGCCAAGGAGAGGAUCAGAUCUGGAAAGGGAUAAAAGCGACUUUGGAUGACUAUGCAGUGAAGAUCAGGUCGAGAGGUGACAAAGAGUUCAGUCCAGUUUAUCCUCUAAUGCUUCAAAUUGGAUCGUCUUUGACACAAUAAGUCUUUUUUUCAAGGCUUUUUGAGUUCUCUGGCUGGUCGAAUCAAUAAUAUUUUUUUGUUGUCUCAAGGAGUUUUCUACAGUUUAUAGCGACCAUAUCUCACAAAUAUGUCAUGUAAAUUCAGAUUCAUACAUCAUGCCAUGGUUUGGUGUGUUUCAGUAGAAGAGUUUUUGUUUUGUUUGAAGAAGCACUCUUAAGGGAGAUUCAUCGAUCAUAUAUAUUCAAACCAAAAGAGUAUUUACAUGGAAGAAAGCAUAUAUACAACAAAACCCUGCAACUAUCUAUUAGGAACCUCCUCUUCUUCUUCUCUCUCACUCUCUCUCUCUCUCUCUAUUACAAAAGCGAACAUAGAUCAAUUCCCAACGGAAAUAGAUCUCUCUCCUAAACCGAGAGGAGAACGUGAACGUUGACGCCUCGUGAACUCGCCAAGGAGCCUCCUCAUCUCCGGCUGCUGCAGCGAUGGUUGACUUAUCUUCUCAAACUCUCUUUUUAUCUUCACCACCUGGCUAUGUUUCGGACCAUCCUCGCUUCCUUUAUUGGUCUUGUUCUCCAUAUUUCAGCACAAACCUGCGACAAAACGGCUCUGAAACAAAGAACUUGUUGUUUAUAACUUGUGUUGAGGACACGAGUUGUGUGUUAAGUAGAAGCGAAGACAGAGAACUAAAUCUAUGUGGGUUAUCUGAUUUUGAGAUAUUUAUUACAGAGGAGACGACUCUUUCUUUAUCUUAUGUCUUUGUUUAUAAACAAACGUGAAGAAAGGGAGAAGGACGGUGUCUUCGGUGGUUACGUGUCAGAAACACUGAAACACUCGUGACGAUUUUCUUACGCAAUUCUAUAAAAUUUUGACCUUUUUUAUUUUAACGAAAGAUUGAUGAUAAUUCAUAGAAAAUUGAGGAAAGAGUCGGCUUUUGAACGUUGAGACUUGAGAGACCAAAAAGGCUGCCAUGUGGGCGCAAAUCGUUGGUCAAAUUAGAACAUUCUAGUGGAUAUCCUUUUGUAGACCAUUUCCUCUUAAUCAGUCGUUAAUCGUUACGGCAAAGAAAGACUCGUGUUCCUUUUUUUGGCACCAAGGAACGGGACCACUUACUCAAUAAUGAUGGGCUUUUAGGAUUAGAGUGGUUGAAACAUUGUGGAAAUUAAAUAACUGAUACAUUUGCCGUUUGAUGUUGUUCAUUACCCGUGAACAAAAAACGGAACAUUAAUUUGGAAGCAUAGUGAUGAUUCAGAGAAGCUUUAUUAAAAAAAAUAUUGGGUCGGAUUCAGCUUCAACUUGGAUCAUCCACAGCAAGAAGAGGUAUGUCCAUUACUCUUGAUUCCCAAUUUGUUACGUACUAUGUUCUUAAUUUUAUUUAAGAUUUCUAUUUCUUCAUUUAGACUAUCAUUUAGGAUUUUCCUUUCUUGGUAGCUAGCUUUCAUCUCUUUCGAUGUUCUGGUUGUUAUCUUGAGAUGUAUCCACCAUUCUGGCUAGGUUUGAAAUUGCAUCCAUAAACUCAUUCAAAACCGCUUGUAUUAAUUAUAUACCAUCUAAGCUUUUGCACAAAAUAUUUUUAUUUAAUGCAUCUAAUUGCCAUUAUAUUCGCAUUUUAGUCAUAUUUUGAGGGGUUGGUCAUUAGUUCGGACCAAAAUUGAUAAUGUUAACAACAAAAGAAAACGAGUAUAACCAAGAGCAAUGAAACUGCCUUUGUUCACCAACUACUCAUCCUGCUGUCUUGUGAAUAUAGCUCGGAAAUUUGGGGUUUAGUUCUGUCAAGACUGUUAGAGUAAACUUGAAGAGCAAGUUAUCCAAUUCCUAACUAAGUUGUGUUUAGGAAUAAUAAGUGAUUUUAGGAAAUAUUCUAUUUUGUAGUUCUAUUAGGUUUAAGAGUUAUCUAUUCCUAUAUAAGGAGUUGUUAAAGUUGUAGCAUCCCUUAAGAGAUUGUGAGCUUUAGUUUUGAGUUAUUUUCUAAAGCAAUAAGAGAAGAAGUUAUUUUGGUGAUCUUAUUAUCUAAGGCAUUCAAACAAUAUUUGGUAGCAGAGCUAAGAAAACCAGCGAUCCAAAGCAAAGAGGUUCGAAUACGAAGAUAGUUGAUCAUGGGAGACAUCGUUCCAGUUACUCGACCUAAGGAGAUAAGCACAUCAACGAUACAAUGCCCUAUGCUUAAUUCUACAAACUAUACUGUUUGGGCGUUAAGAAUGAGGGUUCUUCUAAAAAUCCACAAGGCCUGGGAAGUUGUGGAAACCGGAUCAGACGAUGGAGAGAAAAACGACAUAGCAAUGGGCCUCAUCUUCCAAUCCAUACCCGAAACGCUUAUCUUACAACUCGGAGAGUUAGAUACAGCGAAGAAGGUUUGGGACGCAGUCAAAACGAGGAACGCAGGAGCAGAGAGUCAGGGAAGCACGCUUACAAACCCUAAUGGCUGACUUUGAUCGAUUGAAGAUGAAGGACACCGAAACCAUAGAUGAAUACAGCGGCAAGCUGGCCGAAAUCUGUUCAAAGUCUGCAGCCUUGGGAACAAAUUUUGAAGAAUCUAAGGUGGUAAAGAAGUUUCUCAAGAGUAUUCCUCGGAAGAAAUACAUACACAUAGUAGCAUCGCUUGAACAAGUACUCGACCUUAAUGCUACAAGCUUCGAGGAUAUCGUAGGACGUCUAAAGGCUUAUGAAGAACGAAUCCAUGAAGAGGAAGAGGAAACUCAAGAGAAUCAGAACAAACUAAUGUAUGCGAAUACAGAAGCACAGACAGAUCGGAACUAUUCCAAUGAAAAUAGAAGCAGAGGUCGAGGAGGACGAUUCUAUAACAGAGGAAGAGGACGAGGAAGGGCAAACGAGGCAAGGGACUUGUCAAAGAUAGUGUGCUACAGGUGUGACAAGUCAGGGCACUUCGCCUCAAAUUGCCCAGACAGGCUCUUUAAGUUACAAGAAGCACAAGAAACCGAUGCAGAUGAUACUCACGAAGCAGAGAAGCUAAUGGUUCAUGAAGUGGUGUUCCUUAACGAGAAGAACGUGAAACCAAGCAACUUCGAAACUUCAAGUGAUGAUGAAAAUAUAUGGUACUUAGACAAUGGAGCUAGCAAUCACAUGACAGGAAACCGAAGCUACUUCGCUAAGAUUGAUGAUAAAAUCACAGGGAAAGUAAGAUUUGGAGAUGACUCUCGCGUUGACAUCAAAGGAAAAGGCUCAAUAUUAUUUGUGACUAAAGAUGGGGAACGAAAAGUACUAGCUGAUGUCUACUUUAUACCAGAUCUCAAGAGCAACAUCAUCAGCUUAGGACAGGCUACAGAAUCGGGUUGUGAUGUUAGAAUGAAAGAUGAAUACUUAACCUUGGCCGAUCAGGAUGGUAAAGUGUUGGUGAAGGCAACAAGAUCGCGAAACCGGUUGUACAAGGUACGAAUGGAGGUGGAGAAUACAGAGUGUUUACAUAUACAAACAAUAAGUGAUUCAUCUAAGUGGCACGCAAGGUUAGGACACGUCGGUAUAGAGACAAUGAAGACUAUGGUCAAGGAGGACUUGGUCAUUGGUUUACCGAGUCUAAAAGUCGAGAAAGAGACUUGUCAAUCGUGUUUACUUGGCAAGCAUAUCAAGAAAUCUUUUCCCCAAGCAACUACGUAUCGAGCAACACGUACACUCGAACUCAUUCACGGAGAUCUGUGUGGACCCAUUACACCUGCAACUGCAACACAAAACUGAUACAUAUUCGUCUUAAUUGAUGAUUAUUCCAGGUAUAUGUGGUCGAUUCUCUUGAAAGAAAAGGGUGAAGCUUACAGCAGAUUCAAGAAAUUCAAAGGAAUAGUUGAACAAGAGACAGGAACAAAGAUCAAGACGUUCCAAACUGAUCGUGGUGGAGAGUUCACAUCCCAAGAAUUUCAAGAAUUCUGCGAAAACACAGGGAUACAAAGACACUUGACUGCACCGUAUAGUCCACAACAAAACGAGGUCGUAGAAAGGCGAAACAGAACUCUUUUAGAGAUGACAAGGAGCAUGAUGAAGCAUAUGAAAGUGCCAAACUAUUUAUGGGGAGAAGCAGUAAGACAUGCUACAUAUCUCAUAAAUAGAGUUGCAACAAAAACAUUGAGCUUACAAACACCAUAUGAAGCUUUCAAGGGGAGAAAUCCUAAUAUCGAACAUCAGCGAGUUUUUGGUGGCAUCGGGUAUACUAAGAUGUCAGUACCUCAUCUUAAAAAAUUGGAUGAUAGAUCUCAAGUACUGGUUCAUCUGGGAACUGAACCAGGUUCAAAGGCUUACCGAUUGCUAAAUCCAAAGACCAAGAGGAUAGUGGUAAGCAGAGAUGUCAUCUUUGAUGAAAGAAGAAGCUGGAAGUGGAGCUUGUUGUAUUGUAUCCCCACACGAGGUCACUUUAGUAAAUAUAUCUAGGUGGAGCUCGGAGAUUCUUGUUAAAAUAGAGGUGAGAUCGAUGUGAAUAUUUCGGGGUUUUUUGGACGAGGUCAACUAAGCGAGGUAAGAGUUAUGAUUAUAAGUCUCGAGAAUUUUUGUCUCUAUUUCAGAUUAUGGAUUCCGUAAUAAAUGAAGCUACAGGGCUAUUUAUAGUGGUCAAAUUAGGUUACAUCUCGGUCAGAGUAUCUUGGGCGGCCGGGUAGAUAGACCUGAACGACCGUCUAUCGGAAUGUCUCGCUGGCGAGCUGUUUCAUCAACGUCGACGUGGCGAGCUGCUCCUUUGUUAUGGGAAGCUCAUCUCUUCGAACGACCUCGUUUUGGAUUUAUGAAUGGGCUUGUUAUUCUUUGAGCUCGUUGGGCCUCUCCAAUUUGCUAACGGGCCUGGUUAAAAUUACAAAAGAGGGCUGUGCUCAGCCCACCUACAACAAUUGUCUCCCCCCAGUCCGUUGAUGGAGAUGUUACUUCGAUAUUCAACGCAUCGAGCCAGAGAAUUUUCAUUUCUUUGAACCUCGAUAUCGAUGUGGAGUUAUCGGGGUCGAGGUGAUACUUGGGAAGAGCAAAGAGCAACGGUCGACUUGGAAAGUGAAGAGUUGCGAAAAGCAACGAUCGUCUUGGGAAGUUAAGAGUCGCAAAAAGCAACAGUCGACUUAGGUAGUGAAGAGUCGCGAGUGGGAGCGUGAUUUUCGGGAAGCGCAUGGAAUCCGCCACUAAAUAAGAUACUGGGAAGCGUCCGGAUCAUGAUUACCUUCCUCGGUAACCGCUGUCUUUUCUUCCUUAUAUAUUCUGCUCUCCCUCUCUUCUUCUCAUUUUCUUCUCCGUUCACAAAAGGUAACCUUGCUCUCCCUUCUCUCUAGAAUUCCUUUCUCUCUCUAGAACUCGUUCUUUUGUCAUUUUAUUUCUGCCGCUAUUCGAUAUCGAAUAAUAUCUUCGGGGGGUCAGCGCAUCGAGUCGAGUUUAGAAUCGGGCUCUAGAUCCGAACAGGAAGCUUCUCGGAGUGCGAGCUCUUCUCCUGAGAUGUUUUCGAGGUCUGAUACUCAAUCAGAUCGAGGAGAGUCUCCAUUGCUGGAGUUGGCGGAUCGAGUUUGUUCUGAUGGGGCAUCUCCGUGAGGGGAAUCUACGGAUCUUCAAAUGGUUCCUCUGGUGGAGCGUGAUGGCGAGGUUACUGAGCACGCCGAAGAAGAGGUUUGUGAAGGGGGCGAGGAGGAGGAUGAAGGCGAGGAAGAGGAACAAAGCGAGGAAGAAGAACAAGGCGAGGAAGAAGAACAAGGCGGGGAAGCCAGACCUCGACGAAAAGGUUCCAAGCGCAAGGGAGCCAUCAAGAAUCGGUUAGUUAACAUUCCGUCUCAGAUGACGGCUCAACGCCUCGAAGAGUUUCGGUUACGAUACGGUUUUUGAGGUGAAUUGAUGGCGCCAGGACCUGAGGAUCGACCAUGGCGGGCUCUGGAGGGCUGGGUUACGCUUUACGAGGCGUGGUUCAGUCUCUGUCAUCUUUGGGUGCCUUUGCCGAGGCUGUUGACCGAUUACGUCGAUCGGAGGUGUAUCGCUUUCUCGCAGAUUCUUCCUGCAGGGAUCCGGUUUAUGGUCGCGACUCUGUUGUUUGGGAGCGAGGUCGGGGUUGAUGUCGACUGGCGCUUCUUCGAGGAGAUGACUACCGUUCAGAAGAACAAGUCGAUCCCAGGCACGUAUACGAUAAAGGCCAGGAAAGAUUGUUCCCUGGUUUACCCUGUCAACAGGACGUCGAGCUGGGAGGCGUCCUUCUUUUAUGCAAAGGUGGAUGAGGCGCUGGUAGUUGAUACGACCAGAGACUUUAGGAACGACUGGAGCAGUAGCAUCGGUAGAUCGCUAAUUCGGUCAUAUCUCGAGUUUUUCCUUUCUUUUAUUGAUGUUUCUUCGUUUUUCGCAGAGCGAAACGUCCAGCUCGAAGCUUUCCCGGAGAAUUUUCACGUGAAUAUUCAGAUCAGGGCCGUUGGGAUACAGCAUUGGCCUGAUAUACAUCGUCGAAGAGUCGAGGCAGCCAUUACCCGUAUCACAAACGGUAGGUUCGAUGUCAUCAGCGUUUCCUUUGUAAUUUACGUCGUCUAACAUGUAAAUUAUUAUUUUGUUCCAGCUAGCUUGAGGAGGGAAAACCUUCUAAGGGAGAGGGCGAUUGAGAUGUCUCCGAUUCAAGUGAAUGCGCCUAGUCUCGCUGCGCGGAUCAGAGCUAGUCGUGGGAGCGGGGGAAAUAGAAAUCAGCAAUCCUCUGCUCAAUUGGGUUGCUUGACCCAAACGACGGUACGUCGAGGGACUGACGAGGUAGAGGUUCAGCAAGGCGGCGACCUUGCCCAGGACCAUGCUCAGACGAACGAGCUCGAAGUGGCGGUUCAGGAGGAAAGUCAGCCGGUCGCCGAGGAAGCCGAUGAAACUGAGAGGCGCGCUAGGAGGGAGGCGAAGAAGUUGAAAGGAAAAGAGAAGAAGAAAAAGGAAAAGGAAGAGGCCGAGACCGCACGGCUUGCUGAGGAGGCAAGACAAGUCGAGGUCAACGAAGCGGCUGCGAAGGAGGGAACGAGGAAGAGAUCCUCUGAGGAGGCAGGUGUAGGUGAUGAUCGCGAGGAGCCUGGUAAGAGGCUUCAGGUCGGUCCCUCUGGUGACGAUAAGGUUCCCGAGGUCGAUUGGAGCUUCAAAUUCGAAUACCCCGAAUCUGGGGCACCCUUCGUCAACAAUGCCGACAAAUGUGCCGAGCUCUUCGGCUUGAUAAGGGGAUCGACUUUCCGAAGUUCCUGCUGGUGACGACGCGAUUUUCAAGGACAUGGCGGGCUUCGCCUUUAAGGUAUAUCACAAUUCAGAGUUCAUUUUUGCAUAUUUAUGGGUUUACUCUAAUAUGGAUAUAUACUUUUCUUAUCAGUUCAUCGCGAGCUGCAACCGCGCGCGAGGUCGAUAUCAUCGUACGAUUCGAGCUGCUGCUACGAAGAUUCGUAACGCUCAGUCCGCUGGACAAAGAGCCGUGGAAGAGCGGGAUGCCGCGAUUGCUCGGCGAAAGUCGGCUGAAGAGAAGUGGCAGGUCGAAAAAAGACGCGCUGUGCAGUUGGAAGAAGGUGUGAAGACAUUGAUCGAUAAGAUCGAGGAGCUGAAGUUGGAGAAUCAGGAUCUGAUCAGCAAUCUUCAAACGGUUAACGAGGCGAAGAUUCAGGCUGAGAAGUCGGUUGCGUCUGAAGUAGCUCGCGUCAAGCGACAUGCCGAGGUCGAGUUGAGGGUCGAGCAUGAGGCGACCGUACGUGACUGCGAGCUGAAACUCGAGGGACUUCGCCUAGCUGAUCUGCAGGAAGGUGACUUGCCUCCGCCAUUUCCCGUGACUCCGGACGGUGGUUCAGACCAUGACAACGCUGAAGAUCAAGAGAAUCGCGAGGAUGGCACUCAGCCUGACCACGAGGGAGGCAAUCAGCCUGAAGAAUAGAUCUCACUCGCCUUUUCCUUAUAUGUUAUGGCCUCUUUCUUUUUACUUAUUUUGCCUCGUUUGUAAGGACCCGAUCUAAUCUCAUUAAUGAAUGUUCUUUUUCCGAAGUAUCAGCUCGCAAUUUGAAUCGUAAAAAGAUAAUAGAUACGAGGUAUAUUUAAGUAAAGCAAAACGACUAAUGCGGAUAUCCUCAUCUUAUCAAUUUAAAUGACAAUAGAUUCGAGACGAAAUGCUUGAUACGAGGUAAAUCUUGACCUAAUUAAACAAAACCUACGAAUGAUAGGCGCGAGGUAUGACCUAAGAGGAUAAUGGAUGCGAGUUACGAAAUGCGAGGUGAAACUCGGCUUAAGGGAACGAUAAAUGCGAGGUAUGACUCGGCUUAAGGGAAAAAUAGGUGUGAGGUAUGACUCGGCUUACCCUGUUUUAUUUCAUUAAUCGUGUCCGAGUAGUGAGAAUGAUCUCGACGUAGUUAUUCGGGUGAUUUAAGAAAGGAUGCGAUACUGGUCCCGGCUUAUUCUCUUAUAAUCGUAAAGUUUUUGUUCCUUAGGACUUAUUAAGAGUUUGCAUUGUAGGAAAAUGCGUAUUAGGGGAUCGAACAUCUAGCUAGGAUGUCGAUGUGAAAGAUGUCGAAAUAAAAGAUGUCGAUGUAAAAGUUGGUAUAAACAAAAUUUUAUUAAUAGCUGUACCUCGUGAGAAGUUGCCUACGUACCCAACAAACUGGGAUCAAGCCGAUCGUAGUUCACAUUCGAGAUUUAGCUUGACCGAGUAUAGCUCGGUGAGCGUCUUUUUUUUUUUUUUUUUUUUUAGUAGUAAUACCGCUUUAUGUUCAUCGAGUUCCACGAUCGCGGUUUCAUUUCGCCAUCCAUCGUCAUCAGCUCGUAAACGCCAGGUUUUACAACGUUGGUGAUUUGGUAGGGGCCUUCCCACUUUGCGCCCAGUUUUCCGGUGCGGUAUUCUUCGGUAUUCUCGAACACCUUUCGAAGGACGAGGUCGCCAGUUUUGAAGUGCCUACCUUUCACUCGUUUGUUGUAAUAGCGUGAGAUUUACUGCUGAUAGUUUUGCAUACGUAAUAGGGCGUGAUCUAGCUCCUCCUCGAGCAUGUCGAGGCUAUCUUUCAUCAUCCUUCUGUUCCUUUUACCGUCUUGUGUCAACAUCGUUCUGCGUAUGGUUGGUAGACUGACCUCAGUAGGAGCUAAAGCUUCCAUGCCGUGAGACAACGAGAAAGGAGUUUUAUUCGUCGACCGUCGCGGUGUAGUUCGAUGUGACCAUAGGACUCCGUCCAGUUCGUCUGCCCAUAAGCCUUUCUUAUCUUCGAGUCUCUUUUUGAUGCCGUCGAGGAUGGUUUUGUUGGUUGCCUCGGCCUGGCCGUUUCUUUGUGGAUAUCGCGGUGUAGAUUUGUUGAGUCGUAUUCUCCAUUUGGCGCAGAAGUCCUCGAAGACAUCGGAGAUAAAUUGGGGGCCAUUAUCGGUGACAAUCUCGUAAGGUAAUCCGUGGCGGCAGAUGAUGAUCUUUCAAACGAAGUUCUUCACAUCGGUUGCCUUAAUUUUGGCGUAAGAUUAGGCCUCGCCCCAUUUCGUGAAGUAAUCGGUGAUGAUAAGUAUGAAUCGUUUCUGUCGAGAUCGAGGAAGUGGACCUACGAUGUCCAUCGCCCAUCGCAUGAAGGGAUAAGGUGGUGAGGAAGUGGCCAGGAGCUCGGCUGGCGCGUUGAUCAUUGGGGCGUGCCGUUGACAUUGUUCGCAGCGAGCUACAAAUCGAUCACAAUCGGUAAGCAUUGUUGGCCAGAAGUGGCCGUGAUUCUUGAUUUUUAGAGCGAGAGCUCGACCGUUGGAGUGAUUUUCACAUGCUCCUUCGUGUGUUUCUCGCAUGACAUCGAGCGUCUCUUCACCGUGAAGACAAUUGAGCAGGGCGCCUGUUGAGCUCCAACGAUAAAGAUUGCCGUGUGACUGAAUGUAUUUAUCGCUUCGAACUUUUAAGCGCCUCGCUGCCCAUCGGUCGGGUGGGACUUGGCCGUCUGUAAUGUAGAGCAAGAUUUCGAUCCUCCAGUCCUCGGUUGUCGGUUCUUGUUCGGCGGGCUCAUCGACGACCUCGAGGGGAGGUAAUUCGAUGGCGUCUAAUCUGUUUGCUUCGAGUUCUCGAACUGCGCAUACUCCUCGAGGUAGGACGAUGCUGGGGGAAUCGAUGCUUUCGACCGGGAUCACACGCCUUUGAUGUGAUUCAGACGUCGAUGCGAGGGCGGCUAGUGCGUCUGCCGAGGUGUUGUCACUCCUCGGAAUUCUGGUGAGUGAGAAAGAUUCGAAGCGAUCAGUGAGGUUCUUGACGGCUUUAAGAUACAAGUCCAUCCGGUCGUUUCUGGUGUCGUAGUCGCCGCUGUAUUCGCGGGCAACGAGCUCGGAGUCGCAGAAAGCUUCGAUUUUCUUGACCCCGAUACCUUGGGCUAGACGAAGUCCUGCGAGUAAAACCUUGUAUUCUGCUUCAUUAUUCGAGGCUGGAAAUUCGAGCCGGAACGACUGCUCCAAUAUCUCUUUCGUCGGAGACUCUAGUCGGAUGCCAAUACCUGCGCCUCGAGACGAAGAUGAUCCGUCGACGUAUAAGGACCACUUCUCAUCAGGUAGGUCGGUCUGGAUUAGCUCUGGCGGAAGCUCUACUAGAAAAUCCGCGAGGACCUGCGAUUUGGCACUUGUCUUAUUGCGAUACUCAAUAUCAUACUCCGUCAGCUCGACAACCCACUUUGCAAUGCGACGGGACUGGCUCGGGCUGUGCAGUAUCGUUCGAAGUGGUUGAUUGGUCAAGACGACGACUGAAUGGGAUUGAAAGUAGGGUCAUAGCUUUCUGGCGGACAUGAUGACCGCGAGCGCGAGUUUCUCCAAAGUCGGAUACCGUUUUUCUGCGUCGUCUAGAGUUUUACUAACGUAGAAAAUCGGUUUCUGCUCGCCUCGAUCUUCUUUGACUAAAACGCCGCUUACCGCCGAGCUCGACACAGCGAUGUAGAGGUAGAGGGUUUCGCCCGUUUCAGGUUUUGCUAAAAUUGGAGGGCUGGCGAGGUAUUCCUUAAGUUGUUGGAAGGCUUCCUCACAUUUGUUAUCCCACUCGAAACGUUUGUUGCCUCGGAGGAGUUGAUAGAACGGAAGACACUUAUCUAUGGAUCGCGAGAUGAAUCGGUUAAGCGCCGCGAUUCGGCCGGUAAGACGUUGGACCUCGCGAGUGUUGCGAGGUGAUGGGAGAUUGAUUAGGGCAUCGAUCUGCUUCGGAUUUGCCUUGAUUCCUCGUUUAGUGACGAUGUAGCCGAGGAAUUCUCCGGAGGUUACCCCAAAAAUACACUUAGUCGGAUUGAGCUUCAUCUGGUAUUGAUUUAGAACGGUGAAGCAAGCUUGCAGAUAGCCGAUGUGAUCACCGGCGGUGAGUGACUUUACUAGCAUGUGGUUGACUAGUCGUUGGUACGUUGCACCAGCGUUCUUUAAGCCGAACGGCAUUACCUUAUAACAAUAGGUCCCUCGAUCGGUGAUGAAGGACGUCUUCUCACGAUCCUCGGGAUGCAUCGUGAUCUGAUUGUACCCGGAGAAGGCGUCCAUGAAUGACAAGAGCUCGUUGCCUGCAGUUGCCUCGACGAUUCGAUCGAUCUGCGGCAAGGGGAAACUAUCCUUGGAGCGUGCUUUAUUGAGAUCGUGAAGUCUACGCAGAUUCGCCGUUUGCCAUUCUUCUUUUUGACGACAACAGGGUUUGCCAGCCAUUCUGGAUAUUUGACCUCGAUGAUCGAGCCGGCCUUCGACAAACGUUCGACCUCAUCAUUGACGGCCUGCACCUUUUCUGGACCUAACUUCUCCGCUUUUGCUUGAUCGGUUUAAACGUAGGAUCGAUGUUGAGCUCAUGACUUGUUAUUAAGGGAUCGAUCCCAGGCAUAUCGCUUACUGACCAGGCGAAUGUCGAUGCAUUUCGGCGAAAAAGUCGUACGAGCUCAACCUUGAUCUCCUCCUUUAGAUCAGCUCUGAUUCCUAUGCAUCGUUCGGGGUCGCUUUCGUCGAUGUUUACUUGGACGACGAGCUCCUGCUUGGGUCUUUCUUGAGUUGGCAAAUCGGCUUGAGUUACGGGUAAAAUCGUAAGACACGCCUUGGCUGGGAUCAUGGACUUGAAUCGAAGCUUGUGCUCAGCGGCGAAGCAGAGUCUCGAUAUCUCCUGAGAGCCUCAAAUGGUUUUUACCCCGAAAGCGGUUGGGAACUUGAGGCAUUGAUGAUAGGUCGACGGCACUGCCUUCAUGGAUUGUAGCCAGGGCGUUCCCAAAAUUACGUUAUAGAUGGCGGGUUUAUCGACGACGACAAAUUUGACGAGGCGGCUCGUCUUUGCCGCGUAAACUAGGAGCCUGAUCGUCCUGAUCGAGUAGACCGUAUCUCCAUCGAAUCCUGUAAGUGGCUUAACCGAGGACUUGAGGUGAUGGUUCGCCAGUUCCAUUUUGUCAAGCGUUUCUUUGAAAAUCAGGUCGACUGAGCUCCCUGUAUCGACCAGUAUCCAAGAUACUUUGCAAUCUGCGAUUCGCAGCUCGACCACAAGCGGAUCGUUGUGGCAUGUCGACUCCUUUCGUGUCAGCGUCGGUGAAUGUGAUCGCAUCACUAUCGGCGGUCUUGGGGCUUUUGACUUGCCAUUUUUGUGCGAGCAUGACCUGGCGGCCGUACUUUUUUAUCGACCUGACGGAAUCGUUGCACGUCGAUAGGCCUCCCAUGAUAAAGAACACCUUCUUUCGAGAUGCCAGAGGAGUGUCGUCUCGAGGUUGAUUACCUCGGUCUCUCUUUGCAAGAUUUUUGUUGGAUCGCUCGUUCGUUGGGGGAGGAGGUGGAAGUUGCUCAGUGGGAGCCGUAGGUCGAGCUUCGUUGUUUCGCGGCGCGGUGUUUUGGGGCUGGUUUGCUAAUGCGAUCUCCCCCUUUCGAUAUUUGGCGAGCAAAUAGGCCUGUACCUCACGACACAUCGCAGUCGGGUGACCGUACUUGUUGUGAUAGUCGCAGCAAGGUCGUGUCUCCCCACGAUCUCCUCGUUGCCAUGUGUUUAAUUGGUUUUGAUACUGGCGAUUUUGUUGUUGCUGAGUGCUGAUUUUGUACGUCGCUCCUCGGCGAUUGUCACCUCGAUAGUUAUUGUCGAGGUGUUGUCGAGGUUCCUGAUAUUCUUGUUUUGGGAUUUCUUUGUGAGGUUGCUGCUUCGGCGCCGCUUUUGCUGGUGACGCGAUCUCUUUUUCUUCCUCGUCCUCGAUGUAUAAGGUGGCACGGUGAAGCGCGUCUUCGAGAGUUCGGGGUUUGCUGAACUUGAGGCUGUCCCAAAACUUCAAAUCGAUUCGCAGGGCAUUCCGAAGAGCUGGCAGCGAUGCUUCGUCAGUCACGGUGAUCCAGGAAACGAUCACAUUGUUUCUGCCAAUGAAAGACCGAAGGGAUUCUUGGAUAUACAUCAUGUACCUCUUGAGGAAUGCAGUCGACAAUGCUUGGUAGCUGUCAAUCGAGUUCACCUUUAACUUGGAGAACCAGAUGAGGGCCGCACCGCUGAGAUUUUCGACGAACAGUUGGCAAAAGCCUGCAUCUUUCUCCUCGGGAGUGAAUCGUGCUCGGCCCAUUUGAAUGCUGAACGCGGUCAUGAAUUGGCUUGGGUCCGAGUUGCCUGUAUACGUCAGGAGAUUGAACUUCACUUGAGUUCUUAUCGGGAAAUCGGUGAUUCGGGUCGUGAACGGUGUGCUUUGGCUUUCUUUCAAUACACGGUCGAUCUCAGGUGCCGAGCUAGUAGCUUGAUGUACAAGCGAGGUCAUGGCUCGCAAUUUGGACCUCAUUUCGAGCAUUUCUUCGUCUUGCUGUGAGUAUCUUAUUUGAAGCUGACAUGUUUCGUGUUCGGGAGCCCCGAUGUUCACCUCAUCGCAGUUCGAGGUUGGAUGAUUUUCUGUAGUUGGUGGUGCGGGUGAGUCUCCGAAUAAGGCGCGCUGUACGCGCUGAAUUUUUUGGGCUCGUCUCUCUAGGGCUUGGGUCUCUGACGAGUGUAAUACGCUGACUUGAGCUUGACAAGAAAGUUGUGCCGCGGCGAGCUCGUUCAGGCGAGCGCUUGUCUGUUGAUUCAGCUCUUCCAUUCGAGCCAUCACUGUCGCAAAUAAUGUUGCGACGUCAGCAGGAGCUGGUGUGCUUCGGUUUACGUCUUGCGCUUCUGGGUGCGAGGUUGCGUUUUCCACAAGAUUCAUCGUUGGCGAUUGCCUAUUCGAGGUCUCUGGAUUGUUAACCGGUGACGUGUGAAGUCCCUCCUCGGCUGUAGUUGAGAUGGGUAGACUAGCUGUCUCGUUGAUUUGAAUUCCUGACAUUAUCGAGCCCCUCUUUGCGUAGAAAGAAAUCUCUUUGCCCCACGGUGGGCGCCAAUUGUUGUAUUGUAUCCGCACACGAGGUCACUUUAGUAAAUAUAUCUAGGUGGAGCUCGGAGAUUCUUGUUAAAAUAGAGGUGAGAUCGAUGUGAAUAUUUUGGGGUUGUUUGGACGAGGAUAACUAAGCGAGGUAAGAGUUAUGAUUAUAAGUCUCGAGAAUUUUUAUCUCUAUUUCAGAUUACGGAUUCCGUUAUAAAUGAAGUUACAGGGCUAUUUAUAGUGUUCAAAUUAGGUUACAUCUCGGUCAGAGUAGCUUGGGCGGCCGGGUAGAUAGACCUGACCGACCGUCUAUCGGAAUGUCUUGCUUGCGAGCUGUUUCAUCAACGUCGACGUGGCGAGCUGCUCCUUUGUUAUGGGAAGCUCAUCUCUUCGAACGACCUCGUUUUGACUUUAUGAAUGGGCUUGUUAUUCUUUGAGCUCGUUGGGCCUCUCCAAUUUGCUAACGGGCCUGGUUAAAAUUACAAAAAGAGGGUUGUGCUCAGCCCACCUACAACAGAGCUGUUCAAAGGAAACAAGAGACGAUGACACAGGUACUUUCACGCUUCAGUUCGUUGGUUCAAGUAAUCACGACGAUCUCGAAACAGAAACAGAGGAAGACGAAAACAGAGGAAGGGAGGAUACUACGAAUGAUGAGAGUAUCGAAGAAAAGGAGACUAAUGUGCCUGAUUUCGAGAACACGAAGAUUACUGAAGAGGAAACACAAGUUGAACCAGCUCUUAGAAGAUCAAUUAGACAGACAAAGAAACCAGAGUACCUAAAGGAUUUCGUAUGCUAUUUAGCGGAAGAAGAAGGUGAGCGUCUUUUGUUGUCCAUGAACGAGGAACCGUGGGAUUAUUAGGAGGCCAAAGAACUGAAGGUAUGGAGAGAUGCUUGCGAAGAAGAAAUAGCAUCCAUUACCAAAAACAAAACGUGGACUUUAGUUGAUCUUCCUCAAGGUGCAAAAGCAAUCGGACUCAAGUGGGUCUUUAAGAUCAAACGAAAUUCGGAUGGAAGCAUCAACAAAUACAAGUCAAGACUCGUCGCAAAGGGGUAUGUGCAGAGGUUUGGCAUCGACUUUGAUGAGGUAUUUGCUCCAGUUGCUCGCAUUGAAACUAUUCGGUUCAUCAUUGCCUUACCUGCCUCUAACAAGUGGGAAGUACAUCAUCUUGAUGUUAAAACCGCUUUCUUACAUGGAGAGCUUAAGGAGGUUUAUGUGACAAAACCAGAAGGUUUCAUGAUCAAAGGGAAUGAAAAUAAAGUAUAUAAGUUGCAUAAAGCUCUUUAUGGAUUAAGGCAAGCUCCAAGAGCUUGGAAUAACAAGUUGAAUGAAAUUCUCAGAGGUUUGAAUUUCAUAAAGUGCUCCAAGGAACCCUCACUAUAUCGAAAACAGAGAAAAGAAGAUCUUCUGCUGGUAGCGGUUUAUGUCGAUGACUUACUUGUUACAGGAACAAGUUUGAACUUAAUACAUGAGUUUAAAAAGGAGAUGUCAGAAAAGUUUGAGAUGAGCGAUUUAGGAAGAUUGACUUACUACCUCGGAAUUGAGGUGUUACAGCGAGAAGGCAGUAUCACCUUAAAUCAAGAAAGGUAUGCUAAGAGAAUCCUUGAAGAGAAUGGCUUGGAUGAUUGCAAUGCAGUUCAUACACCAAUGGAAUCAGGUUUGAAACUGAGCAAAGCACCUGAAGAGAAGAGCAUCGACGAAAAAGAAUACAGAAGAAACGUGGGAUGCCUCAGAUACUUACUUCACACUCGACCAGACAUGGCGUUUUCAGUUGGAGUACUAAGUCGAUACAUGCAGGAACCAAAGGAGUCCAUGGCGCUGCAAUGAAACAAAUCUUAAGGUACUUGCGAGGUACUCUAAACUAUGGUUUAACCUUCGGCAAAGCAGAUGUGAAUGGAUUGGUUGGGUUCAGUGAUAGUAGUUACAAUGUUGACAUCGACGAUGGCAAGAGUACCUCAGGUCACGUCUUUUGUUUGAACAAUUGUCCGAUUACCUGGUGUUCUCAGAAGCAAGAGACUGUUGCAUUAUCUUCAUGUGAGGCUGAGUUUAUGGCAGCUACAGAAGCAGCCAAACAAGCGAUAUGGCUUCAAGAGUUACUCGGUGAGGUCACAGGAACAGAAUGCGAGAAGGCAAAUGUGUGUAUAGAUAACAAAUCAGCAAUAGUUUUGACAAGAAAUCCAUUAUUUCAUGGGAGAAGCAAGCAUAUACACCGGAGGUACCAUUUUAUACGAGAAUGUGUUGAGAAUGAACAGAUUCUUGUCGAGCAUGUUCCUGGAACUGAGCAGAAGGCUGAUAUUCUGACAAAGGCACUUGGAAGGAUUGAAUUCAAAGAGAUGAGAGAUCUCAUAGGAGUGCAGAUAGUAUCUAAAGAAUAUUUCAAGUUUAAAGGGGAGAAUGUUAGAGUAAACUUGAAAAGCAAGUUAUCCAAUUCCUAACUAAGUUGUGUUUAGGAAUAAUAAGUGAUUUUAGGAAAUAUUCUAUUUUGUAGUUCUAUUAGGUUUAGGAGUUAUCUAUUCCUAUAUAAGGAGUUGCUAAAGUUGUAGCAUCCCUUAAGAGAUUGUGAGCUUUAGUUUUGAGUUAUUUUCUAAAGCAACAAGAAAAGAAGUUAUUUUGGUGAUCUUAUUAUCUAAGGCAUUCGAAUAAUAAAGACUGAGUCCCCGUAUGCGCGUGUUUUUUAGUUGGUCUGAAUUGUUGGGAUGGAUGCAACACAGCUCAAAAUCAGCGGAAUAAUGUCAUCAUAACCAACAAUCUUGUCCUCCAGUUGAUAAUCUUCAAGAGCUUAGAGCGUGACAUUCGAAACAUUAUCUCCUCGAGGAUACAUUGACGAAACUGUGGCGAUGUUAUGACUCUCUGGAUCCGGUGACUCAAACCAAAUUUAACUCAAGUCUUUGCUGUCUUGUUUUUUUAUUACUUUUUGCCAAGACACCAAAUCAUAUAGGCUCUGCUCAUUGUAAAUCCUAAAAUUUUUAUAAUUAAUGAUAUUUACUGUUUAGUAAAAAAAAAAAAUUAUUUAUCCUGAUUUUUUUCGGUGUAGAAUUCAUGGAUGAAUCUAUCAUGGACUCUUUCCGGUGUAGAAUUCACCAGUUCUAUACCGGACUCUUUCGCUACAACGUACCAAGAGUAUCGAGGCUGCGGCUCUACAAGACCUCUGCCUAAGGCAACAAUCAGAUUCCCCUAUAUCCACUAUAUAGAUUCAUGGAUGAAUCCAUCAUGGCAUUGAUAUUAUUUGCUAUAAUUUACAACCAAGUUUGGAUUAUUAUUUUUUUUUAAUGAUUAGAAGGUUUUCUUUGAGUUAGGAUGAUUAUUAUUCAUGGCAGCGCCGACACGUUUUAUUUUAACUCAAAUUCCUUCGAACCCAAUUUCUGAGUUUACUAUUCAAAUUCGUUUAGAUAAAAUGUUAAGCUUCAUCGUAGAAAUUAAGACAAAUGUUUUAUAUUAUUUACAACAAAUUUAGAAAAUGUUAUGUGCGUGUGUGCUUAGUUAUUUUUAAGCACUAUAGCUUUUGUUAUUUGUUUAAUAUUGGGUACGGUAUGUUGGAAAUUUUUGACAAGUAACCAUCAUAAACUGAUAACUACUUAAACUUAUGAGCUGGAUAACUCGAAUACGAAACGAGCCAGGAAAUCCGUUCCAAAUUGGACAACCCUAUAAAAUACAUAAUUCUUUUGAUUGUCAUUUUUCAAAUUAUGUAUGUCAACUAAAAUUUUUCUCUAUUUUGAAUUAGAAGAUAUAUUUAAAUCUAUUAUAUAAAGACUCAGUUGAGUCUCACAAACUUGACACAUCAGCACUCCUUUGAAUGACACAUCAGCUCAUUUAUUUUUUAUUUAAAAACUUUAGUGAAACUCUAAUUAAUUUAAGCUAAUUACUUUUAUGUUCAUUUUUCUGUGCACUGAUUUAUUUACCAUCAUGGCCUCAUGGCUUUUUGACUUCCAUUUUGAUGCUUCCUAUUCUUAAUGAUGUUUCAAACGUUGUCUUAAAUAUUGGUCACUCAUGUUUCAACGCAUAAAAAUAAUCAGCAAAUAUAGAGGAGCAGACAUGGAAAGAAGUAAAUAUUACCUAAGAUUUUCUAAUAAAUCUCUAAUCUACAGCUUCCACGUUGUAACUUAUGCAAAUUUCUAUAUAGAAGCUUACUAAAGUGAAUGUUGUUCACAAAUCCACGGUCUAAGAUUUAUUUCUUGGUCAUGGGCAGAGACAUCUACAUUUAAUACCAUCGUUUGUGUUCAUUUAAAGGAAAAGAAAAUUUUGCUUUUAAAAAGAAGAUUUUGUAUGAUGGUUUCGAGAAUUCUGUGAAGAGUAAAUAGCAAGACAAAGCUAUAAUAAUAAUUUCUAAAAUAAUAAUAAUUCGGCGACGAAGCUAUAAUAAUAAUUUCUAAAAACUUUGUUUUAAGUUAAGCUGGUGUAAGUUAUCUAUUCUAUUUAUUUUUGUUUUAGAGAAAAUUUUAAGGGGGAAAAUAAUACUCUGAAAGACCUAUUACAUCUAUUAGUAAAUUUUUUAAUAUCUAUGUUUUUAUAAAAAAUGAUAAAAAUCUCGUCUCAAUGAAUUAUAAUUAAAGAAAUCUUUGUGGAGAAAAGAUAAAUAUAAGUUAUAUCAUUUUAUGUGCAUGAAAUGUAGCUUGUUUCAUCUCCAUCAGAUCUUGGAGUUGGAGUAUUGGUUCUCCCAAGUACUGCAAUAAAAAGCCACUGGAGCGGCAAAAGCCAAAUCCGAUGGUGAAAAUGGAGAAAGACGUAUUUGGUAAGCUUUUACAAUAACUGGUCAUGUUUAUCUAAAGUUCCAAACUCUACCUGUGAUGCAAAAGAUAAUAUAUAGUAUGAAAUAUCACAGAUUUUCAUGCUAUAUUCAUUUCCUAACUUUUCUAAUUUUAGUGGAGAUUGUGACGGUUAUGCCAAUGAGAAUAUGAAAAUUUUAUGGAAUAAAGUUAUCCAUUUAUUUUGAGAAUAUACCUUUUAGGUUCCUAAUCAUAAUAUUUAGUAUUUGCUGGAUUCUCAUAUCUUUGUUUAUAAUGUUCAAGAUAAUUUUUCACGUUUAAUUGAAGAAAACGUUUCUUAGUAGAGAAAAUUUCUGAUAAGAUUUCAUAAAACAAAAAAAAAAGUCGAGAAAAAACUAAUUAAAACAAAAUCACUUUAACAAAACAAGUUAACAACUAAUUUCUCUAAUUAAAUACAAAUUAGAGAGAUACCCAAACCGAAGAUAUCAAGUUUAUGUAAAUAAUAAUUUGUAGGUGGACACAAGCGCUUCUUGCUAGAAUGUUUGCCUUCGAAUUCUUCACGCGUGAAAUGUGUGAUAUAGUGAAGGAAUUGUAAACUGAAAUUUAAAGAUAAAACUAAACUUCAGUUUUAAAUAUUACACGCAUAUGCGUGGGUACUCAUCUAGUCUAUUAUAUAAAGAGUGGGUUGUGUCUCACAAACUUGACACAUCAGCUCUUCUCAUUAUGACACAUCAACUUUGAAUUUAAGUAUUUACACCAAUAUUUUUUUUUAACAAUCCCAGAAAUCAAAAAAGAAAGAAAUGUCCAUUUUUGGUCAAUAACACUCAUUAUUAUCUCAUUAAUCUUAUUCCUAGAAGUUGGAAAGAUGGAAUAAAAUGGUUAUCAUGGUGAUAGUUUUUAAAUUUGAUUAUUACGGUGAUAAUUUUUAUAAAGAUAGUAAACUUCAUCUAAUGAAAUAACUUGGUAAAACUGAGAUGAUUAAUUUGCUGUGAAUUAUUUACUAUCCUUAUAAUUGUAAUCUCUUAACAAAAUAGAGAUGUGACUUAUUUACUAACUAAAAAAAUUAUUUAUGAACUAAAAUAGAGAAUCAGAAAUAAACUAUUUAAAGCUUUAUUAAAAAAAUUUUCGGCUAAUUAUAUGAUUAUUUUUAGACAUAACCAGUUGGAAUGAUUGAUAAACCUUUUAUAUUUUUAAAGUUAAAAAUGUUACAACUACAAUCACAGAUGUAACUAUGUAAGUAACCAUUUUGGGAACAAAUUUUAAUACAAUUAAAAUUUACAGUUAUCUUACUAUAUUUUCAUGUAUUGUAUAGUUUUUCCAGAGGAAUUUUAUAAUUGUAGGGUUUGGAAUUUUAAUAUGUUUUUUUUAAUUCAAAUGUUUCUUCGUCUAAAGUCAUUGAUUUGAGUUUGUUAUAUGCCAAUUUUCAGUACCUAAGUUUUCUACUUCUACGGAAAUCAUCCCAACAAAUGAAAAGAUGUCAAGAAAAUGGAAAUGUGUGACCAAAGCCUUGAAAAUAUUUUAAAAUCAUGCAAAUUUUCUUACCAGAUAGCAUAUGGUUAUGGAACUAUAGAAUCAUAAGACGUCAUUUUGAGAAAACUUGGGCUAAUGGUUUUUGAAUCUGAACUCAACUGCAUCAAUAAGACUGAUGCUGCGCUUAUUGAAAGUGUGAAGAUUGUGAUUUAAAACCAGGCGGAGAUGCUCAAAGUUGACAUGUUUCUGAUUCCCACAAGAGUAUUGGUGGCUCUUUAGGCAAAAAAAAAUCAAGGAUGGAGAGUUCCAUUUGUUGUUUAGAGGAGACAAUGCUAAUGUUAUCUGUUACUUGACACUCAAGUUGGUAAGAUUUCACUCUUUUACCGUUUGUAAAGACUGCCCCAAAGUAGACGGCAAUGCGUAUUAAAUUGAAGGUUGUUCCAUCUUUUUUUUUCAGGAAUAACAGAGUAGAAGGCGGUGAUAUCACCACACCAACGGUAGUUUCUGUGUAGUUCAAUGCAUAAAAUCAGAAGGAUACAAAGAGGUUCUUGGGUUUAUACAUAUGUGGUGAAGAUUAUGUGGUCAAUGGAAAAAUUGCUUCUAGGAAAAUUAAGAGAGAAAAGUACUAGCUAUUAAUAAGGUACUUCAUUAUCUCUACUGUCAUUAUUAUUUUUUUGCUGCAUUUUUAAAAAUUUGUGUAAAGAGAAAAAUAUAAGAAGUAAAUGGCAAAGAGAGAGUCAAAAUUUACAGAUAAUAUACCAAGGAGAUAGGCUAACAAAAAAAAAAAGAGAGCGAAAGAUAUUGCUCUCUCCUCUAAGAUGUACAAGAAGUUUUCAUGUAUAUGUUUGAUUUUUUUAAGGAACAAAUAAUUAAAGAAUUUAGGUUCUUAUAAUUAUAAUUAGAGUAAACGAAAAGUGUUUUACAUUUAAAAAUUUUAAGUAAAAGAGAGUAAAAAACUAUUAUGGGAAGUUUACAAAAAAGUUGAAUAAACAGAAAUACUCAGAAAAUAUAAGAAAAAGUUAUAACAAAUCACAUUACUCUAAAUAGUAAAAACAUUUUGUCACUCAUCGAAUAACCAAUCCUCUAUCUUGAAUUAGGUUAUAUUUGUUAAAGUAUAUUUCUUACCAAUCAAAAUUUAACUCCUAAACACUAAAUAUAUAUGAAAUUUAUCUUAUUAUAUUUAACACAACUUAAAAAAUCUAAAUAAUAUAUAAACCCGCGUGUACAGGGAUAUACAUCUAGUUAGAGGUAAAAGUAGUGCAUAUGCGAGUGCUAAAUGAGUGGAAUGAAGUACAUCGAACCUUAGUUAUAAGUAACUAUAGAUGAUUAAUUUAAUAUCUUAGACGUCGAUAUCAAAUUAAAAGGAAAAUUUCUUAAAAAUCAAAAUCUUUAAACAACAAGGUCCCCAUUUAUAUAUUCAGAGGUUAUAUGACUAUAAAUGUCUUGGUCUUUUAAGACAUCUCAAAGGGCAAAUGAUCAAAUUACCGAGAGAAUUACAAAAUAGACAUGGCAUAGCUAGAUCGGCAAAUCAAUCAAGGUACUCAUGAGUCACGACUCAUCUUUCAAAAGAAAACAAAGCGGAAACAACUUUUACAAAAUGGUUUUUCUCCUCAAAAGCGAUACAGAAAUAAUCAAUCAUUGAGAGAGAAACAGUGAUGAGGUGUUAGAAAAUGUGGAAGAGGCAAUGCGUCAUAUAUUAUGCUCGUUGGUAAAGUUAAAAAACAGUCGAAAUCGUUUUCUCAAGAACCACUUUUUCUCUUUAAUUUGGGCGGUGCAAUUUGUUCCUCCUUUUUAUGGAAUGUGAAAACACCACAUAAUGAAGUCGAAUUUGCAAAUUUAGGCGGAAUUUGUCUUAUUGAUAUAGCAAAAAAAAAUGAUUAAUAUCAAUAAGAUAUCAAUGAGUCUAGUUUAUUUUUACGAACUGUUGAAAAAUAACUUAUAUGACCAGGAUAUGUAUAUAGCCUUAUAGUUUCUGUUAAUAUCAUCAGUGUGUCCCUACCUGGAUUCAAAUCCGUAUUAUGUAUGUUGUUAAGAAAAAAAAAAUCAUAAAUUUUGUUCGACAAAAGUUAAGUAUCAACAUGAUGAAAUAUGGACAGAUUAUAUUGGAUUUAUUAUUUUAAACUUGUUGAUACAUACAAGAAUGAUUUGAUGUCAAGAAUUGUUGUAAAAUAUAUUGGAAGUUACUACUAAAACUUAGUAAGUUGUUUAGUGAUAGGCGUCACCAUGUGAUAAGUAUAGUGGUUGACAAUUAUUAUAGAAAGGAAUCAUGAUAUGCAAACUUAAUUGCAUAUCAAAUCCAAGGUUGCUAAGAUAUUCUGAAUUCAUUGUCUCAUAUAAGCUCAAAUUUAAAAUAAAAAAUAAUGUUAUGUUUAAAUGUAGAGACUGAUAAAUAUUUAAAACUCUUCCCUAUUGAUUAAUGAAUAUGAUCAUAUUUGGUAUGUCGAAUCAGGUUAUGAAUACGACUAAUCAUAGCAAGGAAUAAAUUGGGAUAUACAGUAUACUAAAUAAAUCAGUAGCAGACAACAGAAUUUUCCAAGACAGAGAGGAAAAUUUGACUCUACUCUUAAAAAAUUCAGAAUAUUCAAACAAACAAGAAAAUCCCUAGUUUGCUCUGUUUCAGACAACUCUCAACAUGUUUAGGUCAUUUUGUUUGACCUUUCUAGAUCCCAAAAUGAGACGACAUGUGAAUUCUCAACAAUAUUAUUACCAUCAUCUAGGAGAUUAAAUGAACAUUGGUGAAGUUACAGAGAGAGAGAGAGAGAGAGAGGUUUAAACAUUUUUCCUUCUAAAAAAAAAGAUCUAAAUUAACAAUUCUGUUUUCUUCUUUCAGUGUUUGUCGUUGGAACUUCUGUUGAUGGACAAAAACUUGCUGAACAUCUUCUUAGGCCGACCUGGAAUUGCACAGAAAGCCUUAAACCGAGAUGGAGUCCUUCCUCCUCCGUCUUGAUUCAUAAACCUUUCGUCUAACUCUUCAUCUUCAGCUAGCUUACUUCUCAGAGUCCCUGAGAGUUUUGAUUUGGGAGAUUUGAGACCAGAGACGCUCCAUUGAUCUUCCGGUGCUGCCAUGCUUGUAGUCGUGCUAAAAGCGGCUGCAUUUGGAUUAGAAGGGUCAAUUUUGUGUGCAGCGAGUAAUGCUUUGAUGUUGCUUGGAAGUUCUGUCAUUUUGCCUCCUUCACAGUUGGUCGUAGUAGCCGCAGCGGCUCGUGCCUGCUCAUAGAAGAGGACUUGGACCACUACUCUUAGAGGAAGCAUCUCGUUCUGCGCCGCGUGCAUGCAAGCUUCCAUUGACAGUUUCUUGCAGUUCAAGACUCUGCAAACUUUCUUCCUUUCUGAUUUAUUUAGAUUCUUGUGAGCCUGCAAGAACACAACAAGACAAACAAUGACUCUUGAAUGAUUGCUUAAAACUGAUACAAGGAUUAAGAACUGAGAGAUUAUUAUAUAUAGUUUACCUUGAGAUAUAUGUCAAUGGCUCUGUAGAGAUCAUCAUGAUCAAGUCUUGAAAAUUCAGGGACACUCUCAGCUAAAGUGACAAACUUUGAGAGUGGAAGAUUCACAUCUCUAGCAAUCUGUUGGAGAUAUCCAUCAACAAGCUUAGCCACUUUAAGCUUGGAGCUAUGAGAGGCAGAGGAAGAUCUCCUACUUUCUUGGAACUCAAGAUCUAUAUUCUCUGCCGAACGAGAUCUUCUUCUUCUAUCCAUCAUCAUUCCCUUUUUACCUCUUGGAGGACUUGUUGGUGGACUAGUCUGCCCUUGGACCAUAAACUGUUCCAAGAUAGUCGCAACAAUGUCCACAUCGUACAACAUUUCGGAUUUGUAGGACAUUGGUGGUAUUAACAAAUCACUAACCGUUGCUUCUUCUAACUGAAGAGCCACCCUUCUUGCUAAUUCCAUUUUAGAAGACGCUGAUGCGUUUAAGAUAUUAGCUGCUUUCAAGAGUUUAAGCAAGAAACUGCAAGAAACAGCGGUUUUCUCAGCAGGAAGCAAGCUUAUUAUGGAUUCCAACAACAGCCUAUGCUUCGAUGAAGACUCUGUAUCAGAAUCCGAGUCUGAAUCAGUUUUCUUGCCGACUAGUUUCCGGUUUCUUUGUAAAGUAGGAAGCCAUUUAGAAGCGUAAACUCGAAGGGCAUCACCUACAAGACUCGAGGGUACUUUGCCACCGGAUUUAAUAGCAAUCAUAGUCCUCCAAUAAAGAUCUAUCCCCAACUCUGCUAUAUCUUCAGCCCACCAUCCUCUGCUCGUAGCAGCGGCUCUGUUAGAGGACGUGUCAUCAUCCUUAACACGCCUAGAAUGGCUAUGUGAGAGAGACACUUUGGAUGGGUGAGACAAGACCUUAGAGGCUAUGGCUUCAAUGCAUCUACUUGUGAUAGCGAGAUCUUCAGACCACAAAGGAAAAGCUUUUGUGGUUUGGAGAGUGACUAUGGAGUCUCUCCAUCCGUUUAGGAUGCAGGAGUUGAAGAAAACUUCAAGCUUGUACACCAAGUUACCUUUCUCAACCUCCUCUGACAUUUGUAGAUACUCUGCUGCACAUCUUGCUGCUACGAUGUUGUAAGCGCUUAUGGUUAUUGUUAUUCCGUAGCAGAAUUUGGCACAGAGAUCAAAGGCUUCUACUCCUCCUGGAAAUUCUGGAAGUUGGAUGGAUUCUGGUGAUUCAGAGCAUAGUCUUUGAAGCCUUAAACAUUUGGAGAGUAGUGGAAACUGCAGACAAGAAGAAUACAAUCAAAUAAACUCUUAAAGUGAAGUAAUCAUCUCAAAGAAGAAGAAGAAGAAGAAGAAUGGGUACUUUGUGAAGAAGAUAUCUGCUUCCUGACACUUCGAUUGGGAAAUCACUGGAAACUUCAGAAGACACACAUCUGCAACAAGCAGCAAAUCAGCUUUUUACUCAAUAUUUAUGGCCAGAGACUUUUACUUGUUUUUUUUUACUACUUACCUUAAAUCUUCUGAAGUGUAGAAAGUGUCAGGACGAGAUCCAAGUUUCAUAAACUUCAUAGCUGAUUUAUGAUGUUUUAUUAGGUUCUUGAAUCUUCAGAAAAUCCUCUGCAUAAUGGCCAAACUCCAAAAGGGUUUCUUCUUCUAAGGCUCCAAUCUCUGAAGAACAGUUCCUUCCUCAAAAAAAAAAAGAGAGACAAAUUUCCUGUCUGCAAGUGAGACAAAACAGAUCAAAAUUUUGUCAAAGUUUUGUUCAUGUGAGAGAAUUAAAAAAACAAGAUUUUGUUUUUCUAUAGAGAAUUUGUCAUUGUGGUGAGUGAUUUAGUUGGAUAUAUAGAUAGAUGGAAAAAAGGAAAAUAUGUAAGAAAUAAAAGAGAAAAGAAAAACCCAGAAAAACUGAGGCCACUACUAAAGUUCAUGUCCAUUCAAUCAAAUUCCUUAUACCCAAUCUGAUAUGGACAUACAAACAAAAAGAAUCAAAAUCAAUGCAAUAAAAGAAAGAAAAAAAAAAGAUAAAAGGUAAAAGAUAGAAUUGGAUAUCCUAUCAACACAACAUUACACAUCACAACCCACCCAAAGUUCCAUCAAUCACAAAAGAUAACUAAACACCUUACUCCCAUAGCUCACACAUUAGAACAAGAAUGUUCUUCGAUUCCCAUGCAAUAAAACCAAACAUAUAUACAAGAAGAAAAGCUCACUUGGAUGAAAACAGAACAAACUUGAGGUUUCUUCUUUGUGUUAUGAGAAAGAAAAUGUUUUGAGCAAGGCAAUUUCCCAGAAAACCCUCUUCACCAAUCAUUCAAAGAUAAAAAGAGAGAAGCAAAAGAAAGCAGAGCAGAGCGAUCUACUUUUCAACUUUUUUUGUUUUCUUGUUUUAUGCAAAAAUUGGGAUUUUUAAUUUUAUAUUCAUUUGGUAGGGACUUUAUCUGAUAUUAUUAUUUUUUCCCUGAUGUUUUUUUUUUUUUUUGGGGGGUAAAAUAUGGUGAUUAGGCCAGUCACCAGCGUGCAAAGGAGAAUCACCAAUCCCACGUGCUCCUGCCUAUCCCACCUUCUCUGUUCCUCAUCAUUGUCUCUCCAUGUUUUUUUUUCACUCUUCUUAUUGUAAUUUUUUAUCUCUUUUUUCAUUCUUCCUCGACACAUCUUGAUUAUUAUUUAUUGUUUACAUUUUAAUUAUUAUUAUUAUUAUUAUUAUUUCCAUUCUUCACACACACACAAAACUAUAAGUUUUAGAUAUAUAGAUAACUCAACAGAACUCAAAUCCUUACUUUUCAAAAGAUUAAUCAUUGUGUUUUUUUUUUAAGUUUCACGUACGAGAUAAAUAUAAUUUCAUGCAAACAGAGAUGAUAACUAAUUAUUUUCCAUACCUAGAAGAAUAUAUAGUAGAAAGACUUAUGAAUAUUUUGAUAUAUCACUUAGAGUGAACAUUGUAUAUAUAUAUACAACGGGAUACAACCAAAUAACCAACUAUACAAAAAAACUUGAUAUAUAUAUAUUAGUAUGGUUAUAUAACGCAUAUAUUUUUGAAAAUGACAUGACAUAACUCUUGACAUUAAGUCAUUAACGUCUUUAUAAAAAAUAUUGACAUUAACGAGAGCGUAAAUUAAUAUAAUACUAUUGUUGGAUGAAAUUGCAUGGUCCACAUCGGUUUAUGUCCAAGUCAUACAUAGUAGGGGUAUUUUUUUUUGUUGUUAAAGUAGUAGGGAUUAAAAGUCAUUUACAUCUACUAAUUAACUUAUUUACAUUUAUGUUAUCGAUCUUACCUCUUAUAUACAUUAAAGAUUGUUGACAUUUCAUGUAACUACUAUUCUAUUUUUAUUAUUGAUAGUAAAAAAAGGGAUUAGAUCAUUUAAAGAAAGUUUGAUUUUUAAGCAGCUAUCUUGUCCAUACACCUCUUAUUAUCAAAGGGGUUAUAAUAUCAAAGUGCGACAAUGAAAUCGACAAUAACCUCUCUUUUUUCGCAUAGUCUUUAAUGAGUGUACACACUUUAUGAAGAAAGUAGGGGGAAAAAUAUGCAUUUCUGAAUAUUAUUUAUCACGAAGGAAAGGCAUAGAAUGAAUAACAAAUGUCUAAUUGUUUUCCUCAUCACAUCUUUAUAUUUCGAAUAUAAAAUGUAUAGGAAACAUCGAAUUUACCCAUCUAUGCUAACUAUUAACAGAGAAAAGUGGAGGCCUGCUAAUAGCAAAUCAUUGAAAGUAGAUUACUUUCCAAAGAAAGACAAAAUGUUAAACUUCAUCAUCUCUUUAUACAAAUAAUUUCUUUUUGACUGAAAUGAUGGAGUUUUACCCUCUUCUUUUGAAGCUGUUAAAAGAAACAAAUAUAUCCACAUAAUAUAAGCACUCCUAGAUUUAUGUGAAUUCUGGUCAAGACUAAAAGUUAGGGAGCCUAACAUUAACGAUAUAAUCUAGAGAAACAGGUCAUAUAUUUGAUGUUCUGAUCACUUUACCAGUUCUAGUGGAGUGUUCUCUAUGUUUCAAUUAAUUAUAAAAACAAUGAUGCAUCUGAUUAUACAUAAUAUCCAUACAUACACCUUUCCGUUUCCUUCAAUUCUUAUAAUAAAACGAACGGGAUAGCAAAAAUCAGUCAAUCAUCGAGGUUUCUAUUUCAUUAAAAUAAAAAGGCAGAGUAAUAAUAACAUACAUAUAUAUAUAUAGUCUCAAUCUUAGUAGAAGUCGUAGGUUUGAAGAAAGAUAUCUAUUUCAUUUUUUUUUUAAUCAAGCUUCCCCAUCACAUAACAUUUAUGGAAUGAUUUAAGAUCUCAACAAAAUCAUACUUUGGUACAAUGCCUCAACGGGUAAGAAGUCCUCAAUCAAAAGGAAUCAAGAGCAUAAUUAAACCAAAUUUUUAAAACUUUUUAGUUUUGUUUUAUAUAACAUAGUGGUUUGUAGUAGUGUUGUUGUUAAGUCACUGUCUAGACUCAAAUCCGAUAUAAUAUAAUUUAAGUUUCGUUGAAAAAAAGAGAAAAGAUGAAAGACUUACACAGUAAUCAGUAUGGAGAGAGAUGAUGCAGAAGAAGAAGAAGAAGAAGAAGGCUGCUCUUUGUUUUUAUUACCAAAUGAGGAGAACGUAUGUGUUGAACUGGAGCGUUAUUAACAAAGAAGAAGUAUAUAUAUAAAUUAUUGGAGUUUUUUGUCUUUACUAGAUCCAAAGAUGUAUAUUGUGACAUAUACGGCUUAAGUUAGAAAACAUAGAACUUAUGAUACAAACAACAAUGUCCCAUGACUUGUCAGAAUCGAGUACCUUCAAACUCCCAAACGAGCACCAGUGGUUGAGGGAACACAAACAUAAAACCCGUCACGGCUCUGGUCGGUAUUGUCUACCAAUGAGUGUGACGAGAGACUGUCUUGGAUCAAUCAGUGGCCACUUAAGGACGAAGGUCACAGGGGCCAGUGGCAGUGUCGUAAUUAAAACGGUUCGAGGAAGGGCGUUUUGGGAAGUGCAUGAGAAGUUCCUAUCCUGAUGUCAACUCUACGUGUGAAAGAAGAGGAAAAGGUUAUAAAAGAUUUAUGUAAAUUUAUUUUUAGAUUUUUGAAAUGUUAAUAAUGUAAUUGUAACCCUAGUGGGUGUCUAGCCGACAAUGACUGCUUUUGGUGGUCCCCUUUGGCUGUGGGACAUAUCUGUCCCGAUUUGAAGAUCCUCCACGAUUGGAGCUGAGCUGGAUUUUGUACUCGUUGUAAUAACCUUGUAUUUUAUUUAUUAAUGUUUUGGCCAAAAUUGAUGUCUUUCUUGUGAAGAAAUGAAUAAUAUGUGAUGAGUUCAAGUUGUUUGGAAGUAGGCCUGGGAUUUAAAAAUUUGUUUCGCUUCGGCUAUUAAAAUAUGUAAUCGUUCAGCGUAAAUUUCAGUUAUGUUCAAUUCUCGGUUCAAGAUCUAAACCAAACGAUUAACCGAAACAAAAACCCUACAAAUUAUUCAAAUGUUUUCUCCCCAAACUCUGAAGAAAAAGACUCAUUGAAUCUUCCCCAAACCUCAUGAUUCUUUUUUCCCGUAAUUAAAAUAUAUUGCAGCGAGAAAAGACUUGAAUUAAUUCGGGUUUGAAAUCAAACAAAGAAAGACAAACACAUGAUACAAAUGAUCACAUGACUCUUAUUUAAAUUUUAAUAAAUGGGCCUUAGACCUUUUUGUCAAUAAUGGGCAUUAGACCAUUUGAUGGAAGUUAAUUGAGUCCUUAAGGAGAUUAAAGCUUUUAACCUAUGUGUUUAUACUUUAUAGCCUUCUUGGAUUUUUUUUUUCAAUUAGAAAUAACAUGAUAACAUCAGAUGGCCCAAGGUCCAAAUGUUAAAGCAUAAAACAGUCACGUUUCCAUCACUUGCUUAUCCACUUCUUUAUAGGGAUCGAAUUCUCAAGAAAUGGAAAAGAUGAUAGAGCUUAAGUGACAAACCUUUUUACCACUUUGAGACUUUUUCUCUUCUUAAGCAAGAAAACAGUGGAAAGUUUACCUUAUCGGUAUCACAUACUACAUCAUUGGAACAUGUUUUGAUAUGUGACAAACAGGGCCAGCCCAACUCUAUUUGACUGUGAGGAAGAUGGGCUUCUAUCUUCACAUCUGGGCCUAUGAUUUGGGCUUGCUUUGUCAAAGUUUCAAAUGGAUCAAGAUUGAGUCCAAUAACAAAAGAGGAAGUCGUUGAUAAAACGGAAAGUACGCUACAAGGAAUAACGUCGGUUACGUAUUGCUAUAAAAGAAACAAAGACUUUGAAGCCAAACCCUAACACAAGAGAAGGAGUCAAAGAGCCGUGAGUACAAAGCUAAGAUACAGAGGGAGAGAGAGCAAUUGAGAGAAGAGGGAAUCCAAGAGAGCACCAAAAGAAGUUUGAGUCUUCUUUGUGUUGUGAUUCAAAUCUUCUCUUCGAUUGUUCUAAUCUGUGACUUGUACUUGAACACAAAGAGAGCGCCGGUUAGUGCGUUUGUGUAAUCUUUGAUUGAUAGUGAAAGUUGUGGAAGACGGUUCCCAUCCCAGACGUAGCGGUUCGAGGCCGUGAACUGGGUGAUCAAACUUUUGUGUUAUUUAAGUUUCUAAUCAUCUAAUAGAUCCUAAGAUCUAAGCACUCAGGAGAAGUUAAAAAUCCUUAAAUUGACGCCCAAAGCAAGAAAAAAUAUUUACCUUAAAAACACAUGUUGGAAAAUCGAAUCUGGAUUAUUUGAUAACAAAAAAAAUAAACAACCACUAGACUAUGAAGUAUUUUAGUAAAAUUUUGCUACUCUUAAUAUAUAUACUAAAUUUGGCGCCUAAAGCUAGGGUUUCAGCCGCUUUACCUCAGGGUCGGCCCUGGUGACAAAUAUAAACCUCAUGUUAAAGACGUCGCCAAAAUCUUGAGUUAAUUGAGAUAAAAUCCUUUAAAGACGUCGAUCAAACACAAUGAUGCUGUUUCAAAAACAACAUUGUGAAGCUAUUACAAAUCUAAUUUCAAACAGUUGAUUUCUUUGUUUCAACUGACUUCUUGAUCGUGAAAUGGAUGAGGAUAGCACAAUUCUUUUAAUUUUGGAAAGGCCAUUUUUUGCUAGUGGAAGUCUUAAUAGACAUGUCGAACAACAAUCAUGCGUACCAGACUUGGCCAUUCCUCCCUAACCGAGUAGAAUCAAAUCGACCCAAACUGAAAUAAUUUUGUUUGUCAGUUUUAAUUUCAGUAUUUUGUUUAAACCCAAAAACCAAACAAACCAAACAAACCAAUCCUGAACUAACCGAACUGACCUGAUUCCUAAUUUUUUAAAUUUAUUUUUUUCAAGAAGUAACUUUCCUUGAAAAUCAUGAAUUUGAAACAUAUCCAUCCCUGAGAUUCUGCUUCAACAACUAUGAAGACCUUAACUUUGUUAUAUAAAGAAGAAAAUUGUUUACAUCAGUACUUUCUACAUAAGUAUGCUGAAAGUUCAAGUUUUAAAUAAAUCUUUUAUAGUAAGAGAGUUUUUUCCUCUCUCUCUUCUCUCACUCCUAUCCUUCAGAGAGAGAGAGCACUUUUUCUCUCCAAAUCACCGAUCAUUUGAUCGGUUUCUUUUCCGUGUAAAUCGGAUAAUAAUCUUCCGACUUCGUUCGGAUAAUAAUCUUCCGACUUCGAUCGGAUUUUGCUUUCAGAUCCAAAUUAUGUUUCUUUCUUUCUUACUCUUUGAUUUUGGAUCUGAUUCUCCUCGCCUUAUGCGAGUUUUCGAUCUCUUUUCUGACUGCAUUAUCCUCUCGUCGGAAUCACCGUUGUUCUUUUAAGUUUUAUUUCAGGUUUCUUAUCUUGCUUGGAGUAAUAUCUUCGUCGUUUUCCUCUUGCUCAAGUCGGAGCAAUGGUGGACACAGUUCAGAUCAAUAGAGUGGAUCUGACGGCGACGGAGCUUCCUUGAAGUUUGAGAUUUGGAUGAAACUUAGAAGCUGCUGUAUAAUUCCAUCACGGAUUUUUCAUUCCGACAACUAUUUUCCGGGAAUUGAAGAUCGGCAGAAGGAUGGCAUCAAGAUACAGGAUCCAUAGCAGUGGACAUCGGAGAAUUGCCGGCGCCGCUGUUGCAUGACGGUGAUUAUAGAAGAUAGACACGUGGUAUAAAUUGAGAUGAAUAAUAAAGACACGUGUAAUCACCUCUCUUUGAUCUUACCUCUUAUGUAUAUGAUUGUGAGAGGCCCAAUGUUAGCCCGUCUAUUUCCUAUAUCUUUGUACCUAAUGUAAACCUUCUGUAAUAUUAGCCCAUGGGCUUAAUCAAUAUAAUCUGUUGUCGACAAAAAAAAAUAAAUCUUUUAUAGUAUUUUUUUUUUCUUACAGUGGAAGCCACGUGUAUGUGGGAAGAGAAAAGAGUGCCACAAGUGAUUCUUUUAGCCUUUUUCAACCUAAAAAAAAAAAGACGCGACAAAAGCUGUAAGUGGGGAGGGACUGAGUCAAGCCACAACGCGUGGAGUGAGAUGAUAGCUUCCCUACUCAAUACCAAAACGGAACGUUGAUACUUU
rnacentral:lncRNA from 1 species